rnacentral:rRNA from 1 species
ACGGGAGGCAGCAGUGGGGAAUAUUGGGCAAUGGGCGAAAGCCUGACCCAGCGACGCCGCGUGAGGGAAGAAGGUCUUCGGAUUGUAAACCUUAGUCAACAGGGAAGAAGCAAGUGACGGUACCUGUGGAGGAAGCCACGGCUAACUACGUGCCAGCAGCCGCGGUAAUACGUAGGUGGCGAGCGUUAUCCGGAUUUACUGGGUGUAAAGGGAGCGUAGACGGCAAGGUAAGUCUGAAGUGAAAUGCCGGGGCUCAACCCCGGAACUGCUUUGGAAACUAUCUCGCUCGAGUACCGGAGGGGUAAGCGGAAUUCCUAGUGUAGCGGUGAAAUGCGUAGAUAUUAGGAGGAACACCAGUGGCGGAGGCGGCUUACUGGACGGUAACUGACGUUGAGGCUCGAAAGCGUGGGGAGCAAACAGGAUUAGAUACCCUGGUA